rnacentral:rRNA from 1 species
ACGGGGGGUGCAAGCGUUGUUCGGAAUUAUUGGGCGUAAAGCGCGUGUAGGCGGUUUGUUAAGUCUGAUGUGAAAGCCCUGGGCUCAACCCAGGAAGUGCAUUGGAUACUGGCAGACUUGAAUACGGGAGAGGGUAGUGGAAUUCCUGGUGUAGUAGUGAAAUCCGUAGAUAUCAGGAGGAACACCGGUGGCGAAGGCGGCUACCUGGACCGAUAUAGACGCUGAGCCGCGAAAUCGUGUGUAGCAAACAG